UACGGAGGGUGCAAGCGUUAUCCGGAUUCACUGGGUUUAAAGGGUGCGUAGGUGGGUUGGUAAGUCAGUGGUGAAAUCUCCGAGCUUAACUUGGAAACUGCCAUUGAUACUAUCAAUCUUGAAUAUUGUGGAGGUCAGCGGAAUAUGUCAUGUAGCGGUGAAAUGCUUAGAGAUGACAUAGAACACCAAUUGCGAAGGCAGCUGGCUACACAUAUAUUGACACUGAGGCACGAAAGCGUGGGGAUCAAACAGG
rnacentral:rRNA from 1 species